CAGUAGCCGCGGGAAUACGGAGGGGGCUAGCGUUGUUCGGAAUUACUGGGCGUAAAGCGCACGUAGGCGGUUUGUUAAGACAGAUGUGAAAUCCCCGGGCUUAACCUGGGAACUGCAUUUGUGACUGGCAAGCUAGAGUAUGGCAGAGGGGGGUGGAAUUCCGCGUGUAGCAGUGAAAUGCGUAGAUAUUGGGAAGAACACCGGUGGCGAAGGCGGCGACCUGGUCCUUGACUGACGCUGAGGCGCGAAAGCGUGGGGAGCAAACAGGAUUAGAUACCCCAGUAGUCCCUGUCUCUUAUAC
rnacentral:rRNA from 1 species